rnacentral:rRNA from 1 species
GACGAACGCUGGCGGCGUGCUUAACACAUGCGAGUCGAACGGAAAGGCCCUGCUUUUGUGGGGUGCUCGAGUGGCGAACGGGUGAGUAACACGUGAGUAACCUGCCCUUGACUUUGGGAUAACUUCAGGAAACUGGGGCUAAUACCGGAUAGGAGCUCCUGCUGCAUGGUGGGGGUUGGAAAGUUUCGGCGGUUGGGGAUGGACUCGCGGCUUAUCAGCUUGUUGGUGGGGUAGUGGCUUACCAAGGCUUUGACGGGUAGCCGGCCUGAGAGGGUGACCGGCCACAUUGGGACUGAGAUACGGCCCAGACUCCUACGGGAGGCAGCAGUGGGGAAUAUUGCACAAUGGGCGGAAGCCUGAUGCAGCAACGCCGCGUGCGGGAUGACGGCCUUCGGGCUGUAAACCGCUUUCGCCUGUGACGAAGCGUGAGUGACGGUAAUGGGUAAAGAAGCACCGGCUAACUACGU